rnacentral:lncRNA from 1 species
UAAAUCAUCUUUUGAUUCUUCUCCUUUACACAAUCGCAACUCAAACCCUAACUUCCAUUACAAACCCUAAAACCUACCGUCAUCUCUUUGAUCUUCCAAUCAUUUUACACAACCCCUAACUUCCAUCUUUCUCCUCUGAGCCUUAAUACAAACCCUAACUUACAGCGGCUGUUUUUGUUUUGGCAAGACCUUUUUUUUGUGGUGAAAGCCCUAAAUCAUUCUGAAAUAUAUCUUGUGAUACGUUCUAUGUUGGUUUGCUAUCGAUGGAUUCAGCACCAUAUCCGCCGCUGCGCAUCCUCCAAACCCUAGAUCUGAUACCGGAGCACUCUAGAUAGCUCUGCUACCUGAUGAAGAAGAUAAUUAGUUCGUCUAAAGGCUUCUUGGUCAACCAUGUGUUUGGUAGUUGUUUUGGCGUGGUAACGAAUGUUGCAACCAAACAGAGAUCUGAGCUUCAUAGGCUACAAUAAAAGUCUCUGCCUUUGAGUUGUGGCGUGCGUUUCAGCUCACUACAGAUCUAGCCAUUGGAAUUUGGAGCUUAGUACCCACACGCAUUUUAGAAUUGAAUUCGUGUUGGUAUUCUUUAAAAAACAUCAAAUUAUUAUAUCACCAAAUCAUGAAGGAAAAUAAUGAACAAUCAAAUUGUUAUAUCACCAAAUCAUGAAUGGAAAUAAUUUCUUUAAGUACAGAGUUGCGGGUUCUUUCGGUCCAGUUUAGUUUAUACACGGAGACAAAGAAUAUGUUCAAAAAAUGGUUAUUUGUGUUCAUUUUGUUCAUGUUUGUUGUUGUUGAUUUUCUCAUCUUAUAAUCUCUCAAAUUACUUCAAUUCGUAUGCAUGAUAAGUUGAAAGUCCUAUUCUGGAAAACCAAGAUAAUUAUAUUAGUAUCGUGACUGCUAUUGCUGCACCCAAAAGUAUCGAAGUUGAUUUUGGAAGAAACUGAGGGCAUGUUGGGGGUGACCGUCUUAAUGGCACAAAGGAUGUAAGACGGUUUUUUUGCAAGCUUACAUAAUCGAAAUCUAACUUUUACGGGGCACUUCUUUUGUCUUGAAGACAUUGUUUUACUAGGCACUUCUUUAGCUUCAUCAUAUUAGAGGUAUCUUCUUAUAGAAUUGAAAGUAGGUCUUGAAGUUGUUGAUCCUGGUGCGUCAAACUCUGGUGAGAAGAUUACUGAAGCAAAAAAAUCAUGUUUUUUGUCGUUAAAGAAGGUUCAAAUGUUAGCAACAAGUCAUUCUAGCAAAAUUAUUCAUGUUCAAGCUGCAUGAGCUGGUGAUUUUUGUACCUUCCAAGAUGCCUUUUUUGGAGGUUAUUAUGUCUAUAGUGUUCAAUACUGCCUGAGAUGAAGCAGAGGUAAUUUGAUGCUUUGAACGUCCGAUGGCUGAGAUGGAUCAAAAGUCAUAAAAGGUCUACUCUUUAAUGCCGAAAACAUCCUAAGUAGCUUUAUGCGUAUAAUUAGAGUUUUUUUUUUCCAAAAAGGGUGUUAGUGGAAAAAUUAUUUACCAAAAUAGGUGAUUUGAAAACUAUUUACCAAAAUGGGCUCUUUAUUUGUUUUUUAGUUAAAAAAAAUAAAAAAGGCCGCUCCUUUCUAUUUGCCUCUCUCUCGAGAAAUAGUCGAUCCAAAUCUGAAGAUUCGAUUUUUCGGGUUCGGUUUUGUUGGUCGUCUACGAUCACAAGUUUGAUUCUUGUUGGUCAUUCUUUGUUUUGCUCAACAGUUUAGGUCCCAUUAUGCUUAACGAUUAUGAUUUCUUAGUUUUUUUAAUCAGGUUUCUAUCAUUUGAUUAUAAAGUUGAACGUUUGAUUUAUCCUGAUGCAUUAUGAUAAAAAAUAGAAAAAGAAUAACAUUAAACAAUAAUGUUUAAGCAAAAUCGGACGUAAAUCGUUGAGCAAAAUCGUACCGGAAUUGUUGAGCAAAAUCGGACUUGAAUAGUUGAACAUAAUCGAAGAACAAACAACAAGAAUCAAAUACGUGAUUGUAGAACGAUCAGCGAAAUCAAACCUUCCAACCAGUGAUUGAACCUUUGAUUGAAGAAACUGAUAUAGAUCGAAUCGGAUUGGGGGAAUCCAGAAGAAUAACAGAUAGACAACUUGGAGAUUAGGGAGAUAAUUUACUCAUUUCAUUCCUACAGGAAACAAACAUUAACGGAAUAUCAUACCAUGAAACACUACUUGCUAAUUCAAAUGAAAAGAUACCCACUGCAAGAAUUAUAAACAUAGAAUACUCAAACUGUCCCAAAGUCUACUGUAAUGAGCAUGGUUGAAGCAUGAACUAGGUUGACCCACUCCCAUUAUAUGUGUUAUUGGCUAUGAUUUGGGUAACACAAACGAAACUGGUUGAACCAUUGAUUGAAGAAACGAAAGUGAUCGAACCCGUGAUUGAACCUUUGAACCGAGGACCUGAUAGCUGAUUUAGGAAUCGACAAAGAAUCUGGAUCGAACUUCUCUUGACAAAGGGAUUGAUUGAAAGGAGAGGCUUUUUAUUUUAUUUUUUUUAUCAAAAAGAAAUAAAUAAAAACACCCAUUUUGGUAAAUAUUUUUCAAAUCACCCAUUUUGGUUAAUAUUUUUUUCACCAACACCUAUUUGGAAAAAAACUUCAUAUAAUUAGAUAAAAAUUGUAAUUAUAGUGCAUUUAUUAUACCUGGGAGUAAAUUUAUUUUGUUAAAGUAAAAGAAUAUUUAAAGAAAAGUGUUUAUGGUCAACCAAUAAUUGGAUUUCAUUAUUUUUU